rnacentral:ncRNA from 1 species
AAACGUCAAAUGAGCCACACUCGCCAACUGCGUGGAGCGGGAGAAUUUUAACACAUAUUUUCCCCCCGAAAUGAAUUGAACAUUAGAUUGUGAGCGUUGAAUGAUGUGGAGGUGUGUCCGCAAAAGAAGUCGCAACACAGGCAGCUAGGCGACCACGUUAAAAGCCUCGCGCAGGAGCCUUCAGUGGUCCUGAACGUUGUGGUUUUUCUUGAUGGUUUUUCUUUCAUGCAAGAUAUAUGAAGACAGUCCAGGAUCUUAAUGCAGCAAAUGCAUAACCUUGACUGGCGCGCUCCAUUUCCAAUCAUUUUUGGGCAUUGUCUCGCUGAGAAGCUGACUGGCUCUUGCCGUGAAACUGGCAAAAAAGCGACCGUUCGUGGAAAGCAAAUUCAGAGAAAAACAAAGCUCGAGCAGCGUUGUUUUUUCUCCGGAACGCUGCCUGAACAUUGCCCCUUUGGCAUUCACGACCCUAACCAUUCGCUUGAGGCAGACGCCAGGACGUGGAUACUGUACGGUAACGUAAGUGAACUCCUCGACGCAGGCAGGUGCUCCGGGAAGCGUUGUCUUUGCUUUUUAACAGCCUUUUCUUUUAUACCCUGGAAUCAGUUUAGCUGGAGAUAGGGUUAGCUGGCUGGUAGAGCACCUUGGUUUCCAAGGUGUCCGGUGCGCUCCUGACUGCCCUUGAAAAGAGGAGGGAAAGUUGUUAUUUGCACCCCUGGCCGUACCAAUAACCGCAUCAGGUCUCCAAGGUUAGUAGCCUCUGGUCGAUAGAAUAAGGUAGAUAAGGGAAGUC